rnacentral:rRNA from 1 species
AUGUGAGAAUCAUUAACGCCGUAAACCCAAGGUUUCCUACGCGAUGCUCGUCAUCGUAGGGUUAGUCGGGUCCUAAGUCGAGUCCGAAAGGGGUAGACGAUGGCAAAUUGGUUAAUAUUCCAAUACCAACAUUAGUGUGCGAUGGAAGGACGCUUAGGGCUAAGGGGGCUAGCGGAUGGAAGUGCUAGUCUAAGGUCGUAGGAGGUUAUACAGGCAAAUCCGUAUAACAAUACUCCGAGAACUGAAAGGCUUUUUGAAGUCUUCGGAUGGAUAGAAGAACCCCUGAUGCCGUCGAGCCAAGAAAAGUUUCUAAGUUUAGCUAAUGUUGCCCGUACCGUAAACCGACACAGGUGGGUGGGAUGAGUAUUCUAAGGCGCGUGGAAGAACUCUCUUUAAGGAACUCUGCAAAAUAGCACCGUAUCUUCGGUAUAAGGUGUGGUUCGCUUCGUAUUAGGAUUUACUCCGAAAGCGAAGAAACUUACAACAAAGAGUCCCUCCCGACUGUUUACCAAAAACACAGCACUCUGCUAACUCGUAAGAGGAUGUAUAGGGUGUGACGCCUGCCCGGUGCUCGAAGGUUAAUUGAUGGGGUUAGCAUUAGCGAAGCUCUUGAUCGAAGCCCGAGUAAACGGCGGCCGUAACUAUAACGGUCCUAAGGUAGCGAAAUUCCUUGUCGGUUAAAUACCGACCUGCAUGAAUGGCGUAACGAGAUGGGAGCUGUCUCAAAGAGGGAUCCAGUGAAAUUGUAGUGGAGGUGAAAAUUCCUCCUACCCGCGGCAAGACGGAAAGACCCCGUGGACCUUUACUACAGCUUGACACUGCUACUUGGAUAAGAAUGUGCAGGAUAGGUGGGAGGCUUUGAGUAUAUGACGCCAGUUGUAUAUGAGCCAUUGUUGAGAUACCACUCUUUCUUAUUUGGGUAGCUAACCAGCUUGAGUUAUCCUCAAGUGGGACAAUGUCUGGUGGGUAGUUUGACUGGGGCGGUCGCCUCCCAAAUAAUAACGGAGGCUUACAAAGGUUGGCUCAGAACGGUUGGAAAUCGUUCGUAGAGUAUAAAGGUAUAAGCCAGCUUAACUGCAAGACAUACAAGUCAAGCAGAGACGAAAGUCGGUCUUAGUGAUCCGGUGGUUCUGUGUGGAAGGGCCAUCGCUCAAAGGAUAAAAGGUACCCCGGGGAUAACAGGCUGAUCUCCCCCAAGAGCUCACAUCGACGGGGAGGUUUGGCACCUCGAUGUCGGCUCAUCGCAUCCUGGGGCUGGAGCAGGUCCCAAGGGUAUGGCUGUUCGCCAUUUAAAGCGGUACGCGAGCUGGGUUCAGAACGUCGUGAGACAGUUCGGUCCCUAUCUGCCGUGGGCGUAAGAAGAUUGAAGAGAUUUGACCCUAGUACGAGAGGACCGGGUUGAACAAACCACUGGUGUAGCUGUUGUUCUGCCAAGAGCAUCGCAGCGUAGCUAAGUUUGGAAAGGAUAAACGCUGAAAGCAUCUAAGCGUGAAGCCAACUCUAAGAUGAAUCUUCUCUAAGCUCUCUAGAAGACUACUAGUUUGAUAGGCUGGGUGUGUAAUGGAUGAAAGUCCUUUAGCUGACCAGUACUAAUAGAGCGUUUGGCUUAUCUUUAAUAAAGCAU